GGAAGUAAAAACAAGGUUUCCGUAGGUGAACCUGCGGAAGGAUCAUUAUCGAAAUACUUAUUUAGCGUUCCGUGCUAUCCCAUUGUUUUAUUUACCCUGUUGCUUCCACUGGAUGAGUUUCCAUACCUUGUGUUUGAGAAACUUUGGCUUGUGUAAGAUUCAUUCACGGCCAGCCAGUGAGAAGACCAUUUACAAAACCCUGUUAAGAACCAAUUGUCUGAAUAUUUUACUCCAAUGAAAUAAAACUUUCAACAACGGAUCUCUAGGCUCUU
rnacentral:misc_RNA from 1 species